GCCGGGGUGGGGGUGGCCCAGCCGCGAUGCCCAGCCUGGGCCGAAAGUGCCUCGGGGGACGUUGCUGCAGCUCAAGGCGACUGGGCUGAGGCUCCCAGACCCUAGUUACCAUGCUGUCUCCACCAUGGAGACCCACACCAGACGGCAGGCCAUGUGUCGCUGAAGUUACAGCAGUGUUUUCUGCCUGGCAGUCCUCAACUGCAUUGGUGGAUGAAAGGUGCAGGUGUGUCGAGGUCACCUCCAUUUCAGGGCGAAGCAUCCUUCAACAACAUUGAAAUAAUGGCAGCCCUGAACACAGUUUUCAAGACCAAGAGACCAAGCUCUUGUUUUAUGGGACACAGAGACACCUAGAAUUGAAGGAGCGGGAGAAUGUGAUGUCAGUACCUACACAUUAUUAAAGUAACUGCUCUAGUUUACUUUCUGUUGUUGUGGUAAAACUAUGAACAAAAGCAACUUGCCUUGUGGAGCAAAUGGCUUGUUUCAUCUCACAGGUUUUAGACCACCAUCUUGGAAAGCUAAGACAGAAGGUUAAGUAUCCAGUAGAAUUCAGAAGCUGCAAACAGUAUGAAGAAAGAAUUAUUUAUCUAGGAUCAUGAAACAAGAAAUUUCCUGCUAAACCUAUGCUAGAGCAAUACUGGGAAAUCAAAUCGAGAGAUACCAGGUAAGGGGGCUUGGCAGAAACAGGAACGGUACCUAAGGGGAGGGGUGGUGUGUAUGCAUGAGGACUUGGGGAUCAGCAGAAGUAAGUGAAGGCAAAAUUAACCACUUCCCCCCAUUCCUUCUACAUUUGGGGUUCAAUAAGACCCAGCUUUCACAUUUAACUUGGGUUUUUGCUCUGACUGAGCUUCCAAGUAAAGGCAAUCCACAAGCUUUUCGUUGAAAGAUGGCUUUGAAUGGACUCACUGGUUCUUGGUUCUUGUGCAUCAUGGCUCCUCCAACUUUGAAUACUAUUAUCAGUAGGUCCCAGCAGCUGGGCCAGAAAGGAGAAUGGGAGGCUAGCAUCUGAAGCUCAGUAAAAGGAAACUUCCCAACUCAAACUCCAGGCUUGCUUUCUCCAAGCAAAAGCCUGUUAUUACUUUGGUCAGCCUUUCAGGGGAAAACCAAAAACCUACUCACUCGUUAACAAAUAUGCCAGGCUUGGUGCUGGGUCCUAGAGAAACAAAUCUUGAGCAAAAGAUGGCAAGAAACAAAUAAAAUCAUGUUCAAAGCAUUUGAAACAAUUUGUGUUUUGUAAGCACAUUAGCUACUUGGCCUGUACUUGGUGGCUUCCUUUCUGGUCGCAUGUGCCAUCCCCAUUGUGGCCUCAAUGUGGCAGCGAAUCCUGUGAUUAACUGGCUAUGGAAAGGGCUACAACAGAAACCAACCUAAUUUUAAAUGCUUUAAAUGGCAACAAGACUCUGAAGCGCAACAAAUGCACCCAAUCGGAGGGUUUUCAUUAACCGCUCUUGCUGGGAGGGAAUGGUGACUGGAGGAAAGAAUAGAAGCCCUUUGGGCCUAGACCACUUAUUCUGCUGUAGAUCGCAGGCCUGCAAAGCUGGAGGGAUGACCACACAGGAGGAGGAAGAGGAAUUCAAAAGGGCACUCUUCUGGGAAGCGAGUCAUGCCCAGAGUACCAAGCAUUUUCCCUGCUUUAUUCCAUGAGUGCCCUGGAGCCAAACAGCAGACAGGACCGAGUGAGCAAAGUGAUGGGGGCAGGGUGGGCAUCAAGGCAGUGGUCCAAGGUGGUGCCAAUGAGCAAUGUGGGAGAAUUGAAGAAGGGUAAUGUUGCGGCUAUUUUCCUUUCCUCUAAGUGUUUAACUCAAUUUUGCAAAGAGACACCACUGGCAAUUUUGUGCUCUCAUCCAAAAGAAUAGCAAAAACA